rnacentral:rRNA from 1 species
CCUACGGGGGGCAGCAGUGGGGAAUAUUGGACAAUGGGCGAAAGCCUGAUCCAGCCAUGCCGCGUGUGUGAAGAAGGCCUUCGGGUUGUAAAGCACUUUCAGUGGGGAAGAAAGCCUUGGGGCUAAUACCCUCGAGGAAGGACAUCACCCACAGAAGAAGCACCGGCUAACUCCGUGCCAGCAGCCGCGGUAAUACGGAGGGUGCGAGCGUUAAUCGGAAUUACUGGGCGUAAAGCGCGCGUAGGCGGUCUGAUAAGCCGGUUGUGAAAGCCCCGGGCUCAACCUGGGAACGGCAUCCGGAACUGUCAGGCUAGAGUGCAGGAGAGGAAGGUAGAAUUCCCGGUGUAGCGGUGAAAUGCGUAGAGAUCGGGAGGAAUACCAGUGGCGAAGGCGACCUUCUGGACUGACACUGACGCUGAGGUGCGAAAGCGUGGGUAGCAAACAGGAUUAGAUACCCGAGUAGUC